CUGAAACCGUGUACGUACAAGCAGUGGGAGCACGCUUAGGCGUGUGACUGCGUACCUUUUGUAUAAUGGGUCAGCGACUUAUAUUCUGUAGCAAGGUUAACCGAAUAGGGGAGCCGAAGGGAAACCGAGUCUUAACUGGGCGUUAAGUUGCAGGGUAUAGACCCGAAACCCGGUGAUCUAGCCAUGGGCAGGUUGAAGGUUGGGUAACACUAACUGGAGGACCGAACCGACUAAUGUUGAAAAAUUAGCGGAUGACUUGUGGCUGGGGGUGAAAGGCCAAUCAAACCGGGAGAUAGCUGGUUCUCCCCGAAAGCUAUUUAGGUAGCGCCUCGUGAAUUCAUCUCCGGGGGUAGAGCACUGUUUCGGCAAGGGGGUCAUCCCGACUUACCAACCCGAUGCAAACUGCGAAUACCGGAGAAUGUUAUCACGGGAGACACACGGCGGGUGCUAACGUCCGUCGUGAAGAGGGAAACAACCCAGACCGCCAGCUAAGGUCCCAAAGUCAUGGUUAAGUGGGAAACGAUGUGGGAAGGCCCAGACAGCCAGGAUGUUGGCUUAGAAGCAGCCAUCAUUUAAAGAAAGCGUAAUAGCUCACUGGUCGAGUCGGCCUGCGCGGAAGAUGUAACGGGGCUAAACCAUGCACCGAAGCUGCGGCAGCGACGCUUAUGCGUUGUUGGGUAGGGGAGCGUUCUGUAAGCCUGCGAAGGUGUGCUGUGAGGCAUGCUGGAGGUAUCAGAAGUGCGAAUGCUGACAUAAGUAACGAUAAAGCGGGUGAAAAGCCCGCUCGCCGGAAGACCAAGGGUUCCUGUCCAACGUUAAUCGGGGCAGGGUGAGUCGACCCCUAAGGCGAGGCCGAAAGGCGUAGUCGAUGGGAAACAGGUUAAUAUUCCUGUACUUGGUGUUACUGCGAAGGGGGGACGGAGAAGGCUAUGUUGGCCGGGCGACGGUUGUCCCGGUUUAAGCGUGUAGGCUGGUUUUCCAGGCAAAUCCGGAAAAUCAAGGCUGAGGCGUGAUGACGAGGCACUACGGUGCUGAAGCAACAAAUGCCAUGCUUCCAGGAAAAGCCUCUAAGCAUCAGGUAACAUCAAAUCGUACCCCAAACCGACACAGGUGGUCAGGUAGAGAAUACCAAGGCGCUUGAGAGAACUCGGGUGAAGGAACUAGGCAAAAUGGUGCCGUAACUUCGGGAGAAGGCACGCUGAUAUGUAGGUGAAGCGACUUGCUCGUGGAGCUGAAAUCAGUCGAAGAUACCAGCUGGCUGCAACUGUUUAUUAAAAACACAGCACUGUGCAAACACGAAAGUGGACGUAUACGGUGUGACGCCUGCCCGGUGCCGGAAGGUUAAUUGAUGGGGUCAGCGCAAGCGAAGCUCUUGAUCGAAGCCCCGGUAAACGGCGGCCGUAACUAUAACGGUCCUAAGGUAGCGAAAUUCCUUGUCGGGUAAGUUCCGACCUGCACGAAUGGCGUAAUGAUGGCCAGGCUGUCUCCACCCGAGACUCAGUGAAAUUGAACUCGCUGUGAAGAUGCAGUGUACCCGCGGCAAGACGGAAAGACCCCGUGAACCUUUACUAUAGCUUGACACUGAACAUUGAGCCUUGAUGUGUAGGAUAGGUGGGAGGCUUUGAAGUGUGGACGCCAGUCUGCAUGGAGCCGACCUUGAAAUACCACCCUUUAAUGUUUGAUGUUCUAACGUUGACCCGUAAUCCGGGUUGCGGACAGUGUCUGGUGGGUAGUUUGACUGGGGCGGUCUCCUCCUAAAGAGUAACGGAG
rnacentral:rRNA from 1 species